GUAGUAUUCCUUCCGUCCCAAAAUUCUUGUCUUACAUUUGUUUAGAUACGGAUGUAUCUAACACUAAAAUGUAACUAGAUACAUCCGUAUUUAGACAAAUUUAAGACAAGAAUUUUGGGACGGAGGGAGUAUAAA
rnacentral:pre_miRNA from 1 species